AUUGAACGCUCGCGGCAGGCUUAACACAUGCAAGUCGAACGAGUGGCGGACGGGUGAGUAAUGUAUGGGAACCUGCCCGAUGGAGGGGGAUAACUACUGGAAACGGUAGCUAAUACCGCAUACCAUCGGAUGUACCCAGGUGGGAUUAGCUAGUUGGUGGGGUAACGGCUCACCUAGGCGACGAUCCCUAGCUGGUCUGAGAGGAUGAUCAGCCACACUGGGACUGAGACGCGGGCCAGACGCCUACGGGAGGCAGCAGUGGGGAAUAUUGCACAAUGGGCGCAAGCCUGAUGCAGCCAUGCCGCGUGUAUGAAGAAGGACCUCGGGUUGUAAAGUACUUUCAGCGAGGAGGCGUUACUCGCAGAAGAAGCACCGGCUAACUCCGUGCCAGCAGCCGCGGUAAUUC
rnacentral:rRNA from 1 species